GGUUCAGCGGCGGACGGGUGAGUAACACGUGGGCAACCUGCCCUGCAGAUCGGGAUAACUCCGGGAAACCGGUGCUAAUACCGAAUAGUUUGCGGCCUCUCCUGAGGCUGCACGGAAAGACGGUUUCGGCUGUCACUGCAGGAUGGGCCCGCGGCGCAUUAGCUAGUUGGUGGGGUAAUGGCCCACCAAGGCGACGAUGCGUAGCCGACCUGAGAGGGUGAUCGGCCACACUGGGACUGAGACACGGCCCAGACUCCUACGGGAGGCAGCAGUAGGGAAUCUUCCGCAAUGGACGCAAGUCUGACGGAGCAACGCCGCGUGAGUGAUGAAGGUUUUCGGAUCGUAAAACUCUGUUGCGAGGGAAGAAACCGUGCCAAUUAACUACUGGCACCUUGACGGUACCUCGCCAGAAAGCCACGGCUAUCUACGUGCCAGCAGCCGCGGUAAUACGUAGGUGGCAAGCGUUGUCCGGAAUUAUUGGGCGUAAAGCGCGCGCAGGCGGUCCCUUAAGUCUGAUGUGAAAGCCCACGGCUCAACCGUGG
rnacentral:rRNA from 1 species